GGCAUACCUUAGUACGGCGAGUGAAGCGGUAAAAGCUCAAAUUUGAAAUCUGGUACUUUCAGUGCCCGAGUUGUAAUUUGUAGAAUUUGUCUUUGAUUAGGUCCUUGUCUAUGUUCCUUGGAACAGGACGUCAUAGAGGGUGAGAAUCCCGUUUGGCGAGGAUACCUUUUCUCUGUAAGACUUUUUCGAAGAGUCGAGUUGUUUGGGAAUGCAGCUCAAAGUGGGUGGUAAAUUCCAUCUAAAGCUAAAUAUUGGCGAGAGACCGAUAGCGAACAAGUACAGUGAUGGAAAGAUGAAAAGAACUUUGAAAAGAGAGUGAAAAAGUACGUGAAAUUGUUGAAAGGGAAGGGCAUUUGAUCAGACAUGGUGUUUUUUGCAUGCACUCGCCUCUCGUGGGCUUGGGCCUCUCAAAAAUUUCACUGGGCCAACAUCAAUUCUGGCAGUAGGAUAAAUCAUUAAGAAUGUAGCUACCUCGGUAGUGUUAUAGCUUAUUGGAAUACUGCUAGCUGGGAUUGAGGACUGCGCUUCGGCAAGGAUGUUGGCAUAAUGGUUAAAUGCCGCCCGUCUUGAAACCACGGGACCA
rnacentral:rRNA from 1 species